GCAUAUCUGAUGAUGGGGAUUUGUAGGUAGGUAACUGCUUUCCACGUAAGAUCCAAUUGGAGAGAGUUCCCAGGGGCCUUCGGGUUAUCCAUGCUGCUUGGGAGGUUAAGGGAGGGGGCAUGAAAUCAAAACGAAACAGGAAAUAUGUGUCAUAUUGGAUUUGGUCUUUUCCGGGUUUAUUGGCAUAAUAGUUAGAACUGUCUCUCUGGGCUAUGAGGGUGCUGUGUUAUUUAAAGGUGGUCUUUCCCAGAACACCUGGCCUUUUCUUUUCUGCCUCUGCCAAACAUCACAGCCUUUGGGUUGGAUUAGUCAGCACCCCUUGGGAUUGUGCAGAAGAGGUUUGGGGUUGCAUCGAGUGUCACCUGUGGUGAACAGAAUCUGAGAGACACAACUCUCUCACAGGCACUUCCUCCAACCUGGAGACAGAAUUCUCCUGGUGUGUGCCCAGGGGUGGAGGAGAAAUUGACAGUUUGCCUCUGAACUUUCAGGACUUUAAAAAGCACUCAUGUUUCCAUCCUCACUGUUGACUCCUGGCUUAAAGGGAUCUCCCGGGGUGAGUGAGGAGGCGGGAUCGGACCCUGGCAGUCUGACGGCAGCACCUGUGUUCCUCUGCACUGGGCCGUGGAUGACAUUACACACCUUGCCACUCCCACGGUCCUGUGUGUUCCGGAUAUUUUAAAAUAAUGGCUAUAAGGUUGAGCACUUCAGGAUACGCUGUUUUGCUGUGUGCAGAUGGAGGCAGUGGCUGGAGUGAAUGAACGGCAACACUUGCUGGCAACCGGCAGAAGCUGAGAGACAGGGAACAGGCUCUCCUCCAGAGCCUCCAGGAGCCAGGCCUUUGGACACCUUGAAUGUGGGCUUCUGGGAGACCAUGCGUUUCUGUUAUAAGCAGCCCAGUCUCUGGCAGUUUUUACGGCUGCCCUGGAACACUCAUCUAUACCUGUCUGACAAGGUCAAGCUCCAAGGAAGGGACUCUCUACAUAUCUACAUUGUUUGCAGAUUUUACAAUAAUCAUUUAUUCUUGCAUGGCUGAUCAUUGUUAACCAAUACAAAUAAAAUAAUAAAGAAAUGAC
rnacentral:lncRNA from 10 species